UACGUAGGGCGCAAGCGUUGUCCGGAAUUAUUGGGCGUAAAGAGCUCGUAGGCGGCCUGUUACGUCUGCUGUGAAAUCCCGGGGCUUAACCCCGGGCGUGCAGUGGAUACGGGCUGGCUAGAGGCAGGCAGGGGAGAACGGAAUUCCCGGUGUAGCGGUGAAAUGCGCAGAUAUCGGGAGGAACACCGGUGGCGAAGGCGGCUUCCUGGACCGACACUGACGCUGAGGCGCGAAAGCUAGGGGAGCAAACGGG
rnacentral:rRNA from 1 species